UUUAAGGUCUAACCUGCCCAAUGAGGAUUUAAAUGGCCGCAGUAUUUUGACUGUGCAAAGGUAGCAUAAUUAUUAGUUUUUUAAUUGAAAGCUUGUAUGAAGGGUUGGACGAGAUAAAAUCUGUCUUUAUUUAAAUUAAAAUAUAAUUUAACUUUUAAGUAAGAAGGCUUAAAUAUUUAUAAAAGACGAGAAGACCCUAUAGAUCUUUAUUUGCUUAAAAUUUUAAUAAUUUAGGAUUAUUUUAAUUUAAAGUUUUAAUUAAAUUUUAUUGGGGUAAUAUAAAGAUUAAAUAAAUUCUUUUUAUUUAUAACAUUGAUUUAUGAAUAUAUGAUCCAUUAAUAUUGAUUAUAAGAUUAAGUUACCUUAGGGAUAACAGCGUAAUUUUUUUGGAGAGCUCAUAUCGAUAAAAAAGUUUGCGACCUCGAUGUUGGAUUAAAAAUUAGCUUGGGUGCAGAAGCUCAAGAUUUUGGUCUGUUCGACCAUUAAAUUUUUACAUGAUCUGAGUUCAGACCGGCGUGAGCCAGGUCGGUUUCUAUCUUUAUAAAGAUAAAAUGUUUUAGUACGAAAGGACCAGGCAUUUAAUAUAAUUAUAUUUAUUUUUU
rnacentral:rRNA from 1 species